rnacentral:misc_RNA from 1 species
CUUUGAUCCUGCUUGUUAUUUCGCAUUCUUCACUUAAUGUUGGUUCUAACUCUGUUGAUGAAGCACGUUCCCUGUUAAAAUGGAAAGCCAGCCUUAACCAAGCCAGCCCGCUCCUGUCUUCGUGGAUUCUUUAUCCAACUUCAAGUUCUAGCUACCUUGAAAAGAAUGCAAGCCCAUGUUCCUGGCAUGGAAUUAGCUGCAACAGAGCUGGAAGAGUCCAUAAUAUCAACCUCACAAGUUCCGGUUCAAAAGGUACGCUCCAAGAAUUUCCAUUCUCGUCCCUUCCUAAACUCGCAUACGUUGAUCUCAGUGCUAACGAAUUAUAUGGCAUCAUCCCACCUCAAAUCGGUCACCUUACCAAGCUCAUCUAUCUUGAUUUGCAAAUUAAUCUGUUGUCUGAAAAAAUUCCACCAGAAAUUGGCCUUCUAACAAAUCUUAGAACAUUACACCUCAAUGAAAAUAAGUUAAAUGGCUCAAUUCCAAGAGAAAUGUGUCAACUAAGGUUGCUUGAAGAGCUUGCAUUGCAUAUGAAUAGUCUAGAUGAUUCAAUUCCUUCUUGCUUGGGCAAUUUGACUAACCUUGCUUGGUUAUCUCUUUACAAUAAUUCACUUUCUGGUCCCAUUCCUCUAGAAAUUGGAAAGCUCUCCAAUUUGGUUGAACUUUACCUAGACACCAACAGCCUAACAGGUUCCAUCCCUUCCUCUUUAGGCUACUUAGAGAAUCUCACUGUGUUGUACAUGUUUAACAAUCAACUUUCCGGUCCCAUCCCUGAAGAAAUCGGGAAUUUGAAGUCUCUCGUGUAUCUAAGCCUUAAAACAAACAAUCUUUCUGGCACGAUUCCGGCAUCAUUAGGUCAUCUAAGAAACACUGAACUUCUUCAUCUCUACCAAAAUCAACUUUCUGGAUCCAUUCCUAAAGAGUUGGGAAACUUACCGUCUCUUUUUGAUCUAGAAUUGAGUAAGAAUCAACUAAAUAGUUCGAUUCCUAAGGAAUUGGGGAAGUUGACUUCUUUGUUGAGGUUGAAUUUAAGUGACAAUCAGCUUUCUGAUGGGAUACCUUCAGAAUUUGGAUCUUUAACUGAUCUUGAGUCUCUCGACCUGUCGGCAAACCGAUUGAACCAAUCAAUUCCUGAAAAUGUUGGAAACUUAGCUGCACUCAUCUAUUUGAAUUUGAGCAACAAUGAGUUUAGCCAAGAAAUUCCAAUUCAGAUGGGGAAGUUAAUUCACCUAUCGAGGUUGGAUUUAAGCCGCAACUUUCUCAUAGGAAAGGUACCAUCACAAUUGAGUAGUUUAGAGAGCUUGGAGAUGCUGAAUCUAUCCCACAAUAAUCU